AAAAUUACUUGUUCUCCACCCCCAUUUCAGCACUGUUAUAUCCACGCUCUUCAACCCCAACUAGCUGAAACAACUCUAAUCACCUAUUUUUACUGUUUGAGUUAGGCAGUGUUCACAGGACUCAUUUUGCCAGAAGAGCUGAAAUGCCUGCAGAAGGGAAAAAGGGAAAGGGAUACAAACUCAGAGCUGCAAAAUAGCAGCUGAACAUGAUAUUAUCAUCAGCUGGCAGAGGUGGCUGCACACUGAGCAUCUGUCUAUAGCCUAAAAUGACUGUUUUGUUCGGGGAUUUGUUUGUUUGUUGGUUGGAGUUUUGGUUUGUUACACUGCAGGAUCACUCCUAACUGCUAAUACAAUUAAGAAAGAAACUUCAGAAAAAGAUCACUAAGUCCUGUGGUUUUUAAUUCCCCAUUGGGUUUCAGGAAGAAGUAGUUUGUGGCAAACAAGGAAGACAAACCUGAAUCCUUUGCUGCAUCCUUCCUCCUGUUUAAGAAGAUUUGUGAUUCUACAUCUAAAUCCAAGAACUUUCCACGUGGCCCUGAGGCACCAGCCUGACAAUCCCUGUCAGAUGAUUUAGGGUUUUCAAUGGAUUUUGGUGCAUCAGCUGAACUCCCCAGGCUGUGUGCAGAACCAGAUCAUCAAAAAGAAAUCCCUGCUGCUGCAGACAUGCUGAAAGCCAGCUGAAAGCACAGGGAGAAGAAGAGAAGAAGGUAUGGGUGGAAAUCCAGCAGAGGGAACAGUUAUUGGAAGAAAGCAAAAGCAGAGAUAAUGCCUCUUGCUCUUGCUCAGGAAGUUUUAAAUUGAAAUUUGCUGAAGACUGACAGUGUUUUGGGGAACUAUUACUCAUGCUUAUACUAUCUUACACUCUUUGUUAAAAUUUUACUCCUGCUCACCAUCAGAAACACUCCAUUGCACUGCAAAUGCCUUUAGUCUGAUUCUUUAUGGCUUUUCUUACCAUAACUAAUAGUUUCUUACUGAAUCUCUCCCAGUCUGAGUGCGUUACUCUUGCAGGAGUUUAACUAGCAUGGCAGUCAGUAUUCCAGGUGAGUUUUCAGGGGGUCUAGCACUAUUAAAUUCUUUGCUCUUCCCCAGUGAAAAUAUCUUCCCUGACACAACACAGGCUUAUGUUUGACUCAUGAUUUCCCUGAUCACCUGCCAUGUCCAUGUCCUCUUUCUCCCAUCAAGUCACAUCCCCAGCUAUUUCAGAAUGGCCAAAACCAGGUGAGUUUGCAUUUUGAACAGUUGAACUUCAUCCCACUGCUGCUUCUCCAGCACUUGUGAUCACUUUGAUUUCCUUGUGUGAUAUUUCCACCUGCUUUGAACACCUGCCACCCUUGUAUGAUCAGAUGUUUGUUAAUUUGUAAAACUCUCUGGCAGCACCCUCAUGGGGUACUGGGGGAUGGAGUGUCACCAUCCCUCACACCCCCUGCCACCCUCAGACUCAACAUAGCCAACAGUCAAAGCUCUGUUUUGUUGCAAAAUUAAAAUUAGUCAAAAACUAAAGCCUGUGAUGGCAACAUCCAGGUUUCCUUGAAGAAUAUAGUAGAAGUAAUUGCUCUGAUCUGGGAAGUCCCAGCCUAUAAAAAUAAAGCUGGUAUUUGUAACCUAGAGUUCCUAAGUCAGAUGGAAAUUCUAUUUCUGUCUGUUUGUUCCUCUGUAUUUUUUGUUUGAAACUUUACGCUUUGCUAAUUUAGUCUUAGCAAAGGUCAAUUGUUGGAACCUCAGAUUUUCGUAGGCUACAAAACUCAUUUCACACCUGAUUUUACUACUUCCUAAACAAGCUGAAGCAGGAUUUUUCAUAACAGUACAUAUAAAGAUGCCUUAUAAAAACCAAAGCAACUCUGGCUUCUUUUAUAGCAUUUGUAUUAUUUUUAAAGCACCCUCUACUUACCUUUCCAGUUAAUUUCUAAUCUAUUUUUUAAUCUAUAACCCUAAUAAACUUCUAACUUUACCCAUAUUUUCCCUUUGUGUCCUUCAAAACUAUCAUUAUCCACAUGCCUGAGUUACUUUUUUGUUCAAAAGAAUUCAUCAGAAAAUGGCAAGUUAAGUCUAAUCAGUCAGUCUUUGCUCCCUCAAAGGCCUCCAGCUGUUGUUAAGUAAUAUCCCUUGUCACACUUUAGAUAGCCCAACAGGCCAGGGAAAAAAACCAAAAAAUACUUGUUAUAACUACAAUGAUAAACAAAAUCUGCUCUGAAGCUCCUCUAAUUGCCUUCAGAGUCCAACACAGCCCUUGGAUUGACCUCCUUCUGGGGAAACAUAACAGCCAGAGUAAUUAUUAAAGUAUCAACCCAGACUUAAAUCCAAACACAGAUUUCCAGCUGAACAUUAAAUAACACUCGGUCUUUGAAAAAUUGGGCGCUACAGUCUUCAAUCAGCUUCUGUCCCUCACCAGCUUCCCAGCACCAGGGAAAUAAAGGACAGGAAUUUCCUGGACACAUGAUGUCAGCAGCUGGAGCACUGACCUGCGCUUGCAGAGGCUGCUGCCCUACCAGGCAGGGUACUGGCAUUAAGGUUUUAAAACUGUUGUCACUCACAGGAGUUCAAAGACUUUUCUUUUAUUCCCAUGGAGGUUUCUUUUACAGUGGGCUUUGCCUGCCAUUUAAAUGUUUUCACUUUGGAUUUAUUGCUUAUUUUAUCCGGUCUGCAGACGAGGUUUGUUUUGGGUUUUUGGGGGUUUUUUUGCAAUGUGAGUUGCUAAGCUUGUUAAAGCAGCCACAAGAUGUUGUGCUGCAUUUUAUCCCAGAAAAAUGUAAAAUGUGUGAUAUUUCAGCUAUGGUAGGGUUGGUAAUAAGGAUACCAUAAAUUUAAAAAGAUGAGCAUUAAUUUUAGACUUCAUGCGAUCCUUUGAGGAAGCUCUACUAAACGGAAAGCACCAUCUCCUGCUUCAAUCAGACAUAUUAAAUAUUCCUUCUCUUUUGAAAUCAAUUUAAUAAUUAGAUACGCUAAAGGAUCAAACUGCAAGUUGCAGUGUCCCAUAACCCUUUGCCAUUACCAGCUGUUCCUUACAGACACUGGUCCUGGGAUGAGCAUUCAGGAGGGGCUGAGAUCAGGGGAACACGCCUGAUGGUUUCUUCCUUGCUUCCUACCACAGCUCACUCAUUCUGCAGCCUCAGAAGAGGCUCUGAGACACCACUCUGUACUUUCUGUCUCUCAGACCAGCUCAAUCACCUCACCCAAGUAUGAGAAGCUUUCCUAAAGAGGAGCCUUAUUCAAGGCAAAGAUUACAAGCACCCCAAGUUAGUUCCCUUUUCCACUGAUCACUGAGACUUUUGGAGCCAGGGGAGCAUUGCCUCCAUUUCCUAAGCUUUUGACUGACAUCUCAGCCUGGAAAUAACUGCAUUCAUCCAGGUGAAAUUUGCUGCAAGCACAGAUGUAUGGGCACAUGGACGUGUCUGCCCAGCAGCCAGGGAUGGUGUGCAGCCUCAGCUUCUCUGUGCAAUGCUUGUCUCUGCACAGACCUGGUCAAGGAAACAAUCACCCCUUUCCUCAGUGACCAAGACCUCCGUAGAGGCUGUGAGAGAGAAAAUUCUCUGCUCAAUCCCAUGCUUCUGCAAGGGAGCUGCCUUCAAAUAAAUAAACACAUUGCUGCUGCUGAGCUCUAUUCUGCAGACAGUUUUGGGCUGAAAAUCUGUUUAGAGUUUCCCAUACUGAUUCUGGGUGUUAUCUAGAUGGAGGGGAGACACAGGGGGAUCCCAUGUUUACACACAGGAGGACAGUGUUGGCCUUUCUGAUACAGUCUAACUGCUUGAGAUUUUUAAAGCAAUUGAUACUAUUCUUAAAUGAACAAAUAAAUGGAAGGAAUAUAGUUCUGAGCUUUCUUAUAGAUGAGAGAGAGAAAAAAAAGUGUUCUUCAGAAAUGUCACACUAUAUUCAAUCACAUUUAAGAACAGGAAACCAGCCUGGCCUCCUCACCUACACCUGAACAUGUGUACACAGCUCCUGUUGAACAAGCUUUUAAACCUAGACAGAAUAACAACCGUGAAUUCAGGAGAACAACUAUUUCUAUUAAUCACUGUAAUAAAAAAACCUGCAAAAUUGGCAACACAGCUUCACUCAAAUGCCUCCUCAAUGCUCACUGGCAACACCACCCCCAGUAUUACUCAGACAUCAUAAUUUUAUCAUUGCAGUGUCUCUUAAACUCUUCUUAUUGCCUCAUAGAGGAAACUAAUGAAUCAAAGUAUGAAUGUUCUUGAAACCUAUCUUUUAAAAGAAAUAUUAGCUCAGAAGGUACUGGUGGCCUUCUUUGGCCUAGAAGUAUACUCCUGUUUGGAAAAAUAUAAAAGCUGAAUAUCAUAAAUAAGCUUUUAAUUUGUGUUUAAUGGAGGCCAUCGUUUUGGGCUGCUGUAUUCAACUAUUAAAGAGAAACUUACAGAGAUUUUAAACAGGAUCCAUUCUGCUGUCACAUGGUUAAUAAAAAUGAAUAAUUAUUUGCUUAUCAAAUAAAUGUUGUGGUGAAUUGGCACAUAACAAGGUGAUUGGCAGUUCCAUUCAAAGACGAAUUUGGAUUCUAAUAAAAACUUUAAUUUAUGAACCACCAGUGAUGGAUGGCUAAUCCAGAAAUGCAGUCUUGGUCACUGCACAUGAAGCAAGUAAAUUCACAUUUGAAGGUAAGUUCUGAAACCUGAAUCCUGAGCACUUUCCUUGCAAAUCCCCUUGCCUAACACAUAAAACUAAAAUGAAAUGCAUGAAGUCCAGCUUGUUGAAGGACUAAGCAUAUUCAAUCAGUUCUAAUUUGAGCUACCAUUUACAUCAAUCAGUCUUCUGGAAGGAAACUAGUUUGGAGUCACCUUCCUCAUCCUUGUUGUUCCUUAAAGGAUUCUUUUAAUUCAAGGGAAAUUUCAUGGAUUUCAAUAGUAAUGCCACUAGAGCUGCUAUUAUCUCUCUGAGCAGUAAUACAAGCAAAUACAGCCACUGCAAAAAUAGAAAAAUAAUUCCUACAUCCAUCUCAUGCUUGUUAAAUCUCAUCGUGGCAUGCUGUGAUUAAUCUCUUGCAGAGAGUUUUUUAAUUCUCAUUUAAGGAUAAAUAUCUGCAUUUCUUCAUCGUAAAUAAAUAAGCUUUUGCACCACCUCACUUGUGACAGAAAUUAAAAGUCAGCCAUGAAUUGAUAACAGUUAGUUUUGUUCCUCUAUGGAUCAAACAUUUCAGAAACCCUAUCACAGAAGAGUUGACCAUUCUUCUCACUCUGUAUUUUUGUUUGAUAGUUAAAUUUAUGUACAUAUUAGUUUUCAAUGGCUUUUGAUCACAUUUUAAGGACUAGGUCUAAAGCUGUUUCUGUGCAUACAGGUCUUGAUAUCUGGGAUGUGUUUUUUAAUAAAUAUCUUCCUGCAAGUAGCCUGCCAUCCUCAUCUAUUACUGCUUUUGAGUAGAAAGCAUGCAGUUUGCUUGAGUUCCUACAUGCAGUCCCCUCAAAUGAGUGUUUCAAGCAAAAAGGCAGAGGAGAGGAGUGCAGCUAGAGAGAUGAACUCAUUUUUGCUGUUGUGGUAUCCAGAAAAGUGCACUGGGCUGAUAUAAGGACAAUGGUUACUAUUGUUGUCUGUGUCUUAUUACUAAUCAUGCACUCUUUGUUUAAGAAAAGGAAAGUAAAAUUUUCUUUCAUCUUCCGCUCCUUCCUACUUAACUCCCACAUGUCACUAAUAAAGUACAAUAUUGCACAGUAUUACUCCAGUGGUAAAACUCCUAUUUCCCUUCUCCUAGCCCCAUGUUUUGCUGCAGCUGUGCUGCUCUCCCUAAUGAACCUGCCAGAAUCUCUGGGAUUCUCUCUGCUGUCUCUAAUUCCUGAUUGUUUGACCUCAGAGCUGAGUGAUGAAGGUUCUAUCCUGACACCAGCCUACAAGAGGCUCUUCCAAGGAGCUCUUUAAAGUAACUUGAGCCACUGCGCCAUCAGCAGGAUGGCUGUGGGCAAUGAAUGAAUGCUACAAAAUGCUGGCCCUGGUUUCCAUUUCAGGGCCAUGGGGGAAGCCUGGGGUGAUGGAUGGGGGACAGGAGCAGCUGAGCAGCCUGGGUGAUUCUGCAGGGGCACCAAAUGACAGAGAGGAGAAUACUCCCUGAGAAAUGAAGCACAGCCCACCCAGAGGGGUCUGCAGGAGGGAGGUCUCAGAGGCUCUGCUGCAUCUCCCUCUCUGGUUCAGCAGUGGCACACAGGAACAAAGUCACUGUGGCAGUCCUAACUUGUCCCAACUAGUCCCAACCCUACUGAGAAGGAAUUAGGAGCUGUUCUGGUGGCUGCAUGGUGGCCCAGUACAGGAGGUCAUUUGACAGGUGGUUUCUCUGCCAUCUUCAAAUUUGUGGCACUAAACAUGGCACUGAGUUUUCUUGGGAAUCUCAAAGAGGAAGAAAAAUGAAACUUCUGCCUCCUAUCAGUUUCCCUAACUCCCCCUUCCGUGAAAAAGCCCUUUCUGAGCUGUGGGUGCAGCAUCCUUGGAGCCAUCAGAAAGUUUUGCUAAAUGAAGGACUUUAACAAAGGACUUUGUCAGGUAGUCCCACCAGGCAGAAUAUUUUCUGUAAGGGACAUGGUGGUUGGGAAUGCCACAAACACUGCACAGGAGCUGUGCACUUUGCCCAGGCAGGACCAGACAGGGGCUCUGCUCUGCUCUGAGCUUUUGCCAGCCCAGGUGAGAAUUUGCUCCUGGGUGCUGGAUGACUCUGCUGACGCCACCAUCAAUUCAGGAAGGGAUUGCAGUUUUAGUGAGAUUCCUGCUGGAUGUUUGGUAAAGCACCAUCCACAGCAUUGCACAGCUUAGGGAAAUCUUUUCUCUGGAUCACAGUCUCACUUAUAUAUUAUUAAUUUUUUUUUCCAGAGGAUAAAACAAAAGUAUCAUCAUUUGCUGUGAAAAAAUAUAGGUUAGAAAUGUGUCUUGGGGUUUGUUUUUUAUUUCAUGCUAUUUCUCUUCCCUUUUAACAUCUAGGAGAAAGAGUAGUCAUGUGAGUUCAGCUCCUCUGCUCUCCUGUAAUCUACCCUUUGAUGUAACUAACUGGCAAAACAUAUUUCUAAUCAAAUAUAGUUUCUCAUCCUUAAUCAGCUCAGCUUUAAAAUGCAGAUCAAUGAGAUAAGAAAGAGCUGAUUUAAUUAGCCCAACCUCAGCAAUGUUACAGCAUAUUCUCAUUUACAGAAAUAAUGGGGAGCAAGAGGAAAGAGAUUCAUCAUCAUGAAAAGACUGGAGAAGGCAGAGGAAAGCAGGAUAUUUCCUAUGUUAGCUAAGGGUGAUUUUCAUUCAGGCUAAAGAGCCAGCACAUGUUUUAUGAGCCAUUUAAAUAACACUUAGGUCUUGUGCUUCGUCCUUUAGCCUGAGGAUGAAUUUCCUUCACUAAGCAGCAAUACCUUUGGAAGUCAUCACUUCUGGGUUUAAUUGAUGAGCCAGAGACAGCUUCCACUACUUGGUGAAUAAAGAAGAGGAAAUAUGGCAGGCAGGAGCAUGGCAAUAAUGCACAUUUAUGGAGCAGCUUGGGAACACUCUCCCACCAGAGUGCCAGGCCAGGCACUCUCACUGGAGAGGCUUUAAUGGGAACAGCACAGGCUGUGCUCCCUCACCCUGCUGCUGCCUCUUGAGUGGCCACAGGCAGGUCACCUCACCUCUGCAUUUCUGGGGGUGUGUUUUGUUUUUCUUUGCUUCAUUCCUCUGUCCCACUAGGAUUUGGAAUUUCCUGCAGAGUAAAUCUCUUCCUUCCCCCACAGCACAGGUCUCCCCACAAGGCAGGACGGUGGCACACUUGGAGCUCUGUGGGAUUGCUCUGCAGCUGCUCAAAAAGCAAAACCAGUGCAAGUUCUCAGCUUGCUCUUCCUGCUUGGUGAUUUUAAAGCAGUAGAACACUACCUUACCUCCAGCAGCCCUGUCUAACCUGAGUCCAAAUGCUCCUCCAUCUCCCUGGAGCAGGGGACUCACUGAAUCAGGUCAGCCCAGGUUUGGUCAAUGCAAGCAGAGAAGUGCUGCCUCCUCCACAAAGAGCACCCAGAACAUUUCCAUGGCCACACCACUCCUGUAGAGGCCUCAAUAAAAGGAAAAUCAGACCUGUCAAUGUCUAACAAGACUUUUCAGAUAGCCUCCAGCUGUGGAAUUGAGCUCAUAACCUGAACCUUUGGUGAGGUACACCUUGACAUUUGUGCUGUUACAAAGUCAGGCCAAAUCCACACAAAUGAGGAUAUGCCAGCUCCUAAUUUGAGUUCUGGGAAUGAAGUUUGUCUUCGUUUGUGCCCAUCCAUCAUUUCAAAUGGAGCUAUCUUGUGACAGCCACAUUUGGUAGUCUCUGCCUGGGAGAUAAUUGCUCAUCACUGAGGGGAACUCACACAGCUGAGAUAACCCUCAGGCACUUUCUCUGCAGGGAUGGGAGCACCAGAGGCAAAGCAAUUAACAGAGCAAUUAAGCCACUAGCCAAUCAUAUCUCUUUUAUUUUCCCUCAUCUCAGAUUUGUGCCACUCUCCAGUGCCUCUAAAAACAAGCAAGGAAAGGCCCUGCUCUCCAGAGGGAUAAUUCCCUAAUUCCCUCAGGUGGGCUGGGAUUCAGCUCUAAACCCCAUUCCUGACCCUUACUCAUCAUCAUUCUGGGCUUGUGGGACAUGGUUUGGCUCCUGCAGACAGAAACAGUGGCUAUUUCCUUUCCUGAGAGCCAAGAGACAGCAGUGGUCACUUAGAGCUCUUCCCUAUAUCCUGCUCCUUCCCUCCCCCAGGCUUGUUCUCCAGGCAAUAAAUCAGUCUUUUCAGAAGUAUUAGAUCAGGUAUCCAGACUCUGUGGUUUCAUGAGAAAGUUUUGCAGAAAAGAUAUUGGGACAGUCUCACAUGCACAAGAGUUGAUAAACUGCAUCCAUAGGUGAUGGCAUUUACCUUUGGGGGAAUGUAAAAACACAAGAACAGAGAGGAGAGAGACAUGAGAAGGAGAAAAUUCUGUCACAGUCAGGCCCUCCCAGGUCCUCAAGAGUGUUCCUCCCCCAUCUCCCUGUCCCAACCUUUCCUUGGACUGCAGCCCUUUGGGAACAGCUGCUCCUGCUGGGGCUCUCCACAGCCACAAAUCCUGCAGGAAACUGGGCUGCGGAGCUCCAAGUGAUGCAAAGGGCCAGAGCUCCCUGGCUCCAUGGAGUUUGGCAGUGUCGUAGUACCCUAGGUUACAAUAUUAAGAUAUACUCUAUUCCCAUCCUGAAGAGCUGCUGAAACCAGGAGGGGCAUUGUUUCUUCCUUAUCUCCUGUUAAUGAGCCCAUCAAUGCCUUGACUCAGAGAUAACUCCCUCCAGGAGCCAUUUCUGUUUAAUGGACCCACCUCAUGACUCAUGGAAUAAUAUCAGCCAAUAUGCUCUGCCUAGGAGGAAGGAGCUAAGCAUCCCCACCUGGAUAUAAUCUGGGGUUUGGGGCAGCACAAGCAGUCUUUCUACUGGCUUCUCAGAGGAAUGGCUUCUUUUCCACUAUAUCCGCAGAGGAAGACUACACCCUUUCUACAGGAUCCCUGCUCCAACAGAACCAAAUCUGCCACUCUGGGAGGACUGGAGACACCAAUCCAACUGGAGUGCUACCAACACGCUGACCAACAGGGUGUCAGCUCGUCUGAGAAAAGAACAGGAGGACAAAACAUUCUUACAACUGCCUGUGAACCUAUACACUGAGAGUGUCUUGUGGGAAGUCUGCUGUGGAUUUCUGGUCUCUGGGACAUGUGGUCUGUGAGGCUGACUGCAUUUAGGAUACAACACCUUGUAGAGGAAGGGCUGUGAUUUGGUGUAAAAAUCGUUCAGGCAUAAGAGGAGAGAAAGAAGUUGUAAAGUUAAAGCAAGAUCCUCAAGAGGCAUCAGAACUGCCAGUGUCUAUGAGUUCAGUGUGUACCCUCUUUUCUCAGAACAUUUGCUUUGGGCAAAACUAUAAUAAUAAUAAUUCAUCAACUGAAGUAGGGGCUGUAGUUUGGUUUUGAAUCCUGCUCUCCUGGUACCAGCAGCAUUUUCACAAGGGCUGAAGCUCUUGUGGCUGUUCUCAUCCAACUUGGUCGAGCAGACUAAAAGGAAAAGAAAUGCAGCUAAAUUCUGAGGGAUCAGGUUCUACCCACUUCUAACAUAUUAUGCAACUUUUCAUCCUUUGAGUUGUCUUAUUGAUUUCAGUGGAAGAAUUUGUUAUUGCAGAAUGUGAAUAAGAUGCCAGAAUUUCACCCUAAAUAUUUCACUUUACAAAGGAAGCCAUGAUGCAGAAGAAAACACACCCUGAGCUGCAGCAGGACACAAAAUUUGCAGUUACAAUAAAAGCUGGGAAGCCUUUUU